rnacentral:misc_RNA from 1 species
AAAGUAAUUGUGCAAGUAAGGAGUAAUUUUCAUAUCCAAAAGUACUAAAAUGAAGCUUGGAAAUUAAAAAUUGUGAAGUUGCUGAAAUCCGCAUGACUUGCUACAUAACCUGUACAGUUUUUGCAUAGGAAUUAGAAGGAAUUGAAUAUCUGCCGAAAAGUGCACAACUUAGUGCAUAGCUUACGCGGGUUCCUUAUGCAGCUUCACAGAGGAGACCCUACACCAAUCGAAACUUGCACAACCUAUUGCAUAACUUAUGCACUUUCACGCCUUCCCUUAUGCAGCUUUACGGAAGAAACUCUGCAACUGCUAAAACUUGCACAACUGACUGCGCAACUUGUGCAGCUGUAGACCCUUAUUUUGUGAUGA